UUUGCAAGUUUGCAAGUUUUUACAAGUUGACGUUCAGACCCAGUAGCCUACACAGACAGACAUACAGACAGAUCGCCUCUUCUAAAGACUGAUUGAGACAGAGAUGAAUGAAAAAGAACAAAGGGAUUUGGAAGAACGUGCCGAGAGACUUCAAGCAUGUAGCAGUACGUUUGAGGUUCUUCCAAAGAGAAAGAAGAGGAAGAGGAAGAUGAAGAGGGUUAGACACUGCCUACUGUUCGUGAUGGCCCUGAUCAGGGGCGUUACUAGGAAUUAAGGUUUACUGGGGCACUGCCCCCGCCACAAAAGGUGUUUAUUUGUCAAACAAAUUUGGAUGCAAUAUGUGUCUCGAAUUGGAUGCCAUGCUAGUUUGCUAGAUCUCAAAACCGGAUUAUGAAAGUGCCUUGCCAUAGAGAGACACAUGAUAACGUUGGAUUAUGAACAGGCUACUAUGCCACAAAAACCCACAAAAACAUGGGGUAAGUGGAGCUAAAUCAACCAAAACAAUCACGAACAAUUGCACUCAGUGCCGGGGGCAGAGAUGGAUGAUGGGGGGGGGGG